UGCAGAAUCCCGUGAACCAUCGAGUUUUUGAACGCAAGUUGCGCCUAAAGCCAUUCGGUUAAGGGCACGUCUGCCUGGGCGUCACGC
rnacentral:rRNA from 1 species